rnacentral:lncRNA from 1 species
AUUCCUAACUUUGUAUACUUUAAAUAAUUUCUUAAAAAUUUCAUGUUGUUUAAACAUGAAAAAAGUGAUUCAACAAGAGACUAGAUUUUUUAAUCUAGAGAAAAUAGUAAACAUAUUCUCCAUGGCUUCUUCACAGAUAAAACCUAGUGAUAGUUCCCAUACUAACCAUAUUAAACAUACAAUUUAUUAAUGAUAGGUUUAUGUCCAGGCUUCACAGUUUAUCUCACUGAUGACCACGGCUCAAUGAAACCUAAAUUCAAUCUUCCUCUGCACCCAUGAAAUCACAACUCUUCCAGCUUUCCCCCUUACUUUCUCAUGUUCAGCUAUUCUGGAAAGGCAUCUUUUUCUCAGUGCUUUCUUAGUGACUGUACUGAUAAAAAUACAAACAGCAUAUGGAAGUAGAUAUAUGCGUAGGUCUUGAUUUUGUGUUUUGGUAGACUGGUUUAUUCAAGCAAAUACAACAGGAGAAUAUGUUUGUUUAAGGUUUGCUUUUGUGCCAGUUGCUGGUUUUUCUCUUUUUUGGCCUGCCAGAAAUAUACACCUUUAUUUCUACACUAUUUGAUAAACAUUUCUAAUUGACAAUUUUUUUCAUUGAAUUAAUUAGCUCCUUCAAAAAUAUAACAUAUGUCUAACAUGUUGAGGAAUUUUGAAGAAUUAUGCUCAAAUUUGAUUUUACUUGAAAUGUUUUAAAUUUAGUAAAAUUAUUUAAUGUUAGAGGCUUAAUAGUUCUUCAAUAUUAUGUAAAAAAUUGGCCUUAAUUUACAGUAGCUUGAAAAGCAUAAUCUAAUUUUAAUUAUCCAGAAGAAAAAUUUUUAAUCACUUUUUUUGGAAGUGAAUUGAUUGGCAGGUUUGUAAGAUAGACUUUGUUCUGAGAUUAGCUGGGAAAAUGCUGAAAAAUAAAUGUGUUAAAGAGAGGUAUUCUCAUAACUUACAGAGAACUUUUUACUUUGGGUGCUGCUGUUUGCUGAUGAUGACUCACCUUGUUAUCAACUUUUACCUUUUCCUUUUCCAUGGACAUUCAGAACCCACGUUGUGUAGUUACUGGGCGAGAUUACAGGGUAUUUGUUAACAUUUUUUACCCCGAUGUAUGUAUGAGAUGAUUUAUAGUGCUAGAGCUUUUGCCACUAGAUCACUGGGAACGAUUGAGCAAGCUUGGGUUAAUAUCUUGAGCUUCAUUCUCUUCUAUUGAAAUUGAAUAUAAACUGUGAUAUAAAGUAGACCCUUCUUGGCCAUUUUUGCAUAUAUUCUUGUGGUAUAUUAUCUUCAUUUUGUAAGAUUGGAGACUGAGGUCUGGAAACACAAGAUAAAUAUCUUAGAGUAAUAGCAGAAAUGAUGAGGAAGUUUGCAAAGUGCUUCUUUGUGUUCUAUUUGAUGGCUUGUUACUGCAAUAGCAUGAUUUUGUGCUUUAUUUCCAACCUAUUUGGGCCAGCUUUAACAUUUUUUAUGGUCAAUUUUUUAGAGGAUUUUCUAGUCAUUAAAUUUCUUGGAUUUUAGAAUAGUGCUUUGCUGGUCACACAGCAGUGGCAGGCUGUGUGAACUUUCUUCUCUUCUAGAACAGUUGCAGAUUUAAAGCUACCUUCUGCCAAAGGACCCAUGGAAGAUAUGACUUUUGUUAUACUUUGUUCAUUCAAGUUGGAAUGUUCUUUUAAGCCCUGCUAACAUGAGAUUAACUCCUAUUUUAUUUUUGUUGCAAUGAAAGUAUCUGUUCAGAUACUUUCUGAAAAGUACCGAACAGAGUACUGAACAAAGUACUUCUAAAAAUUGUUGUGAUAAAUCCUGUAAUUUGUUUCUUAGUGUCCUUCUUCCUAAUGUUCUGUCUGUGUAAAACACCUUUGUGGUUCAUUCCCUGUUUCUAUUAUGUAUAUUGAAAUCUUUUCCAUAGAUUGAAUCUCUACUUCCUCUUCCAAGCCACUGUGGGAUCUCCCAGGUUGAGCUAAAUGUGCUCUUUGCCCUUUAAACUUUGUACGGUUUUUGUAGUAAUUAUCAAAAUUCACCUUGCUUGAUGGUUAGUUGCAUUUAUGUCUUAUCUAUUCUAUAAGGAAGAUACAUACCAUGUCUCAUAGGUGGUUUUUGUUGUCGUUGUUUUGUUUUUUGCUCAGCAUUGCUUAACAAAAUUAGGGAUCUAAUUUUUUUAAAUUCAUCAGUCAGUGAAUUCAGAUCUUCCAAGUAGAUAAAUCUAGAAAAUGUGUGUUUAUGUCUGCAUAUAAACGUGUGCAUAUCUACCUCUUUAUCUUAUUUCAUUCCAUAUCUGUUCAUAUUAAAAACUACAAGUUUGUGCUGGUAACAUUAAUUCCACUUGAACAGCACAGUGUACAUUCAUGUCUUUAUCUUUUUUAUACUUGUAACUACUUUCUCCAACAAUGAGAAACCUGGUUUCAGUUAUACUCAGUGUAUAUACUCAUUUGCUCAAGUCUAGAAUACAUGGAAAUUGGUUUCAGAAUUGUUGGCCCAUACCACUGCAGAAAGCAAACCUACUAACUAGGGUUCUGUAUUUGUUUACUUUUUUGAGGUGAAAUAUGUCAUGUGUGGAUCUAGCACAUAUGCCAUUUUCUUCUCUCAACAUUGUCCUUUUGCCAAUAUAGAAGGCUUCCUGGGUAAUUCUUUUUUAGCCCUAUUGAGGAAACACAGACUUUAAUGUCAUAAAAUAGUGCUUCAUUUUUAUCAAAGCAUUAUGUGCCAUGAUGCUUAUAGUAAAUACAGUAAAAGCAAUUGACAUGCCUUUCUUUUUUUCCUUUUGUUCAUUUGUUUGGUGUAUACGUAUUGAGCUUCCAUUAUAAACUGUCUCACUGUGGGCCCAUAAGGAUUAAUGACAAUUCAUUUUUUGUGGUCACAUUUCAUAAAUCAUUGCUAGCUGACCUUUUAGCACAUAGACAGGACCAAAGUUUGCCAUAAUGGGCACCUUGCACUCAGCCCAUACAAUAUGCACAGAGGAACCCUUCUCCUACUCCUUGAAAGGAUUAGGAAGCUGCCUUGGAGAUCUCAUUAUUGGUAGCUCUGGGCAGUUGCAAAGAGGGGUCAUAGCUCUCCUUCCUACUGCUUACUAUGUAGGAUUUAUUUUCCCAGGGUUAGCAAUUUUCUUUGGGGUCUGAUAUUCUUUAGAGAAAGAUACUUAAAGUUGUAGAUCAUUUUUCUCUGUUCUUUCUCUUUUAUGCAUAGCAGUUUAGGGCCUCCUUCUCCGUUAAUAUGUCCGAUGGCCUUCAUGAUGAGAAUGCACUGUCUGUAAUUAGCUGUGCAGCUGAUGACGUGCCUCCAGUAGCCACCAGCAUGUGACCUUGAUAGUAUGUAAGUGUUAGGAAAAAAAGUGUUGGUUGGCUGUUAUCUCUAAUCCACCACAGCUGAGCAAGAAUAAUGGCAGAUGACAGGGCAGGCAGGCUGAAAACUCCUAUGAAGAGUUGCUUUCUGCAGCAUCUUGUGUACAACAGCCUGUCAAAGACACUUAGAGUUUGUGGUGGGAGCUCCACAUGGCUGACAAGGCAGCAGCAUUAUGUUUGGUGUGUGGACAUGUAUUGAAUUUGUAUUAGCUUCUUUUGUAAGGCAAAGUGAAAAUUUCUGAAUAUUUUCCAUGCCUUACAGAAGUGCAGCUCCCAGAGAGUGGGUCUGGCUACCCUCUAAUUUGCUUCUUGGGAUGCCCAUCGCAUACAUGGUGUUUCCUAUGUGAAAACAUACGAAAGGCUUUUUAUAAACAGUAAUUCAGUACCAUAGCUAACCACUCAGGUUAGGAUGUAUAGGGCAAAUCACUUUGUGAUACAACUGACUAGAAGAACACUUGACUGAGAUACUUCUGUAACCUGUGAGGGAUCUAGAACACAUGUGAUCUAGAACAGAACCAAAGAUACCCUUGGUCCGGAGACCAUGGUGGGAAUGGAUGCUCAUGAUGGUUCUGGAGUCAGACUCAGGGGUGUAAUCAGUUUUGGAGAAGAUCUGAAUUUCUUGACUUGAUCUGAAAACCUAUCACCUUUGCAGGCUAAGUGAAGGUGUUAUUAAUGGCUCUACAUCUUCCCAUGCCAGUUGAAUUGCUUCUGCCUAAAUUUUUUUAAAGUAUGGAGAAAUUGGUGGAUAAGUAAUGCUUAUCUAAUAUUACUAAUGUUUUAAUGCUGAACAUUAAAAUUGUUCCUGGGGCUCUUUAGGUCUGGUAAUUCCGUAUGAGAGGUGGAGGAUGAACAGAGGCGGAGGCUGAUAGCUUCUGAUAUCUUCUUUUGAAGUUGAAAUCAGAUUUAGCACUUAUAUGAGAAUCUCUGGAGAACCAUAGUGGCUUCUUUUUGUGAUGGGCAUCUGCUUUCAUUUAAGUUUGUAUAUGAAUGCCAUCCAUUCAGCAGGGAGAAUAUUAUUUAAAUGUAUUUAGGGUACUUGCCAGCUUCUUUCGUUUGAUAACAACUUUUCAAAAAUCCUCCAGAUACUUUAUUCUAAAUCUACACAAAGCAUGAAACAUGCAAAAAAUUUAAGCUUUUUUUCCCCUUCCUUAAACAUAGGGAUAGAUAUCUACUUGGAAAAAUUAGUGACAGGAUCAGAGAGAGGGACAUGUAAAGUAUAUAAGUGAUUUUUAGAAGCCUUAUAAAAGUAAACACUGCCUACAGAGCACCCUAAUUUGUUUCCAAUUUGUAUCAUAGCUUGGUAAUCUGUUAUUUUAAUUGUCAAUUUUUUUUUGUCUCUUUAACUAGGAUAAUGGCUGAGUUAAGUAAUAGUUCGCUGACAGCUGGUCUAGGCUAAUCAUUGAGAUCUUUUCCUUCACAGUGAUUAGAGGUGAGCAUGACCCUAUCUUGGCCAAUUAGAAGUGAGGGGAAGUUUUCUUAAUCAUAAGAAAAAUUGAAAGAGGUGAUUAUUUUGUCUGGCUACUGUCUUGCCUGAAGGUGACGCUUGAAACUACUACAGCUGUCUUGUUGCCAGUUUAAGGAUGAAGCUAGCCCUGAGGGCAGGGCUAUGUCUCAUUCACUGUCAUAUUCCUAGUGCUUAUUGUGUGGUAUGUGAUUACUGCAGGAUGGUUAAGUGAACUCAGUUCUGGGUUCCAGUCACUUCAUUUUGUAAGAUUUUCUUUUUUCUUUUUCUUUCCUUUUCUUUUCUUUUUCUUUUUUUUUUUUUUUUGAGAUGGAGUCUCGCUCUGUCAUCAGGCUGGAGUACGGUGGUGCGAUCUUGGCUCACUGCAACCUUCGCCUCCCGGGUUCAAGCAACUCUCCCGCCUCAGCCUCCUGAGUAGCUGGAACCGCAGAGAUAGGGUUUUGCCCAGGAUUUUAUUUCUCCUUCACUUAUGAAGCUUAGUUUGGCUGGCUGUGAAAUCCUGGGCUGCAAAUUCUUUUCUUUAAGAAUGUUGAAUAUUGGCCCCCACUCUCUUCUGGCUUGUGGAGUUUCUGCUGAGAGAUCAGCUGUUAGUCUGUUGGGCUUCCCUUUGUGGGUAACCCGACCUUCUCUCUGGCUGCCCUUAACAUUUUUUCCUUCAUUUCAACCUUGGUGAAUCUGACAAUUAUGUGUCUUGGGGUUGCUCUUCUCGAAGAGUAUCUUUCUGGUGUUCUCUAUAUUUCCUGAAUUUGAAUGUUGGCCUGCCUUGCUAGGUUGGGGAUGUUCUCCUGGAUAAUAUCCUGAAGAGUGUUUUCCAACUUGGUUCCAUUCUGCCCGUCACUUUCAGGCACUAUUUAUUCUAAAACGUACCAGAGUUUUAUUACCUUUUUUGCUG